GCUUGUAACUCAGUGUUCACUGCGUUAGAGAAGAGUCAAGAAGCGAUUGAGAUCACAAGUGAGGACCACAUCAUCCAGUAUGCAAACCCUGCAUUUGAAACAACAAUGGGUUAUCAGUCGGGAGAACUAAUAGGGAAGGAGUUAGCACAAGUGCCCAUCAAUGAGAAGAAAGGUGACUUGCUGGAUGCCAUAAAUUCCUGUGUCACAAUCGACAAGG
rnacentral:lncRNA from 1 species